rnacentral:rRNA from 1 species
GGAAUAUUGCACAAUGGGCGAAAGCCUGAUGCAGCAACGCCGCGUGAGUGAUGAAGGUCUUCGGAUUGUAAAGCUCUGUCUUUUGGGACGAUAAUGACGGUACCAAAGGAGGAAGCCACGGCUAACUACGUGCCAGCAGCCGCGGUAAUACGUAGGUGGCGAGCGUUGUCCGGAUUUACUGGGCGUAAAGGGUGCGUAGGCGGAUGUUUAAGUGAGAUGUGAAAUACCCGGGCUUAACUUGGGUGCUGCAUUUCAAACUGGAUAUCUAGAGUGCAGGAGAGGAGAAUGGAAUUCCUAGUGUAGCGGUGAAAUGCGUAGAGAGUAGGAAGAACACCAGUGGCGAAGGCGGCCCCCUGGACAAAGACUGACGCUCAGGUGCGAAAGCGUGGGGAGCAAACA